AUGAAUUCCGUGCGGUUGGCCAUAGCGUCGGCAUUCUUUCUGGCGGCGCUCGUGGUGACGGCCGCCGACGACGCACACCUGCUGGACGACUUCAAGGCGGCGCUGCCCAACCAGGCGUCGCUCGACGGCUGGACCGCGCACGACGGCGCCUGCAGGUUCCCCGGCGCGGUGUGCAGGGGCGAGCGCCUCACGUCGCUCUCGCUCUCCACCGUCCUGCUCAAUACUGACAUCCACGCUGUCGCGGCCACCCUGCUGCAGCUCAGCGGCGUCGAGAGGCUCAGCCUCCGCGGGGCCAACGUCAGCGAUGCGAGGCGGUGGCCGGCGGCAAGUGCGGCAGCAAGCUCGAGGUGCUCGACCUCUCCGGAAAUCCCGUGCUGCGCGGUUCCGUCGCCGACGUGGCCGCGCUCUCCGGCUCCUGCAGCGGCCUCAAUUCGUUGA
rnacentral:rRNA from 1 species